RSRRKKSGCCCUUAGAGUUUGAUCCUGGCUCAGAACGAACGCUGGCGGCGUGCUUAACACAUGCAAGUCGAACGUGAUCCAGAGCUUGCUCUGGUGAAAGUGGCGCACGGGUGAGUAACGCGUGGAUAACCUGCCCUGGUAUCUGGGAUAACAUCUCGAAAGGGGUGCUAAUACCGGAUAAGCCUACGGGCUCUUCGGAGUCUGCAGGAAAAGGUGGCCUCUAUUUAUAAGCUACCGUAUCAGGAUGGGUCCGCGUACCAUUAGCUAGUUGGUGGGGUAAAGGCCUACCAAGGCGACGAUGGUUAGCUGGUCUGAGAGGAUGAUCAGCCACACUGGAACUGAGACACGGUCCAGACUCCUACGGGAGGCAGCAGUGGGGAAUUUUGCGCAAUGGGGGAAACCCUGACGCAGCAACGCCGCGUGAGUGAUGAAGGCUUUCGGGUCGUAAAGCUCUGUCAGAGGGGAAGAAAUGAAACGUGCUAAUAUCACGUUUUCUUGACGGUACCCUCAAAGGAAGCACCGGCUAACUCCGUGCCAGCAGCCGCGGUAAUAC
rnacentral:rRNA from 1 species